rnacentral:rRNA from 1 species
GGGUUGUGAGGUUAAGCGACUAAGCGUACACGGUGGAUGCCCUGGCAGUCAGAGGCGAUGAAGGGCGUGCUAAUCUGCGAUAAGCGCCGGUAAGGUGAUAUGAACCGUUAUAACCGGCGAUACCCGAAUGGGGAAACCCAGUGUGACUCGUCACACUAUCAUUAACUGAAUCCAUAGGUUAAUGAGGCGAACCGGGGGAACUGAAACAUCUAAGUACCCCGAGGAAAAGAAAUCAACCGAGAUUCCCCCAGUAGCGGCGAGCGAACGGGGAGGAGCCCAGAGCCUGAAUCAGCAUGUGUGUUAGUGGAAGCGUCUGGAAAGGCGCGCGAUACAGGGUGACAGCCCCGUACACAAAAGCGCAUGUGCUGUGAGCUCGAUGAGUAGGGCGGGACACGUGGUAUCCUGUCUGAAUAUGGGGGGACCAUCCUCCAAGGCUAAAUACUCCUGACUGACCGAUAGUGAACCAGUACCGUGAGGGAAAGGCGAAAAGAACCCCGGCGAGGGGAGUGAAAAAGAACCUGAAACCGUGUACGUACAAGCAGUGGGAGCACAGGUUUACCUGUGUGACUGCGUACCUUUUGUAUAAUGGGUCAGCGACUUAUAUUCUGUAGCAAGGUUAACCGAAUAGGGAGCCGGAGGGAAACCGAGUCUUAAUUGGGCGUUAAGUUGCAGGGUAUAGACCCGAAACCCGGUGAUCUAGCCAUGGGCAGGUUGAAGGUUGGGUAACACUAACUGGAGGACCGAACCGACUAAUGUUGAAAAAUUAGCGGAUGACCUGUGGCUGGGGGUGAAAGGCCAAUCAAACCGGGAGAUAGCUGGUUCUCCCCGAAAGCUAUUUAGGUAGCGCCUCGUGAAUUCAUCUCCGGGGUAGAGCACUGUUUCGGCUAGGGGCCAUCCCGGCUUACCAACCCGAUGCAAACUGCGAAUACCGGAGAAUGUUAUCACGGGAGACACACGGCGGGUGCUAACGUCCGUCGUGAAGAGGGAAACAACCCAGACCGCCAGCUAAGGUCCCAAAGUCAUGGUUAAGUGGGAAACGAUGUGGGAAGGCCCAGACAGCCAGGAUGUUGGCUUAGAAGCAGCCAUCAUUUAAAGAAAGCGUAAUAGCUCACUGGUCGAGUCGGCCUGCGCGGAAGAUGUAACGGGGCUAAACCAUGCACCGAAGCUGCGGCAGCGACACUGUGUGUUGUUGGGUAGGGGAGCGUUCUGUAAGCCUGCGAAGGUGGCCUGUGAGGGUUGCUGGAGGUAUCAGAAGUGCGAAUGCUGACAUAAGUAACGAUAAAGCGGGUGAAAAGCCCGCUCGCCGGAAGACCAAGGGUUCCUGUCCAACGUUAAUCGGGGCAGGGUGAGUCGACCCCUAAGGCGAGGCCGAAAGGCGUAGUCGAUGGGAAACGGGUUAAUAUUCCCGUACUUGGUGUUACUGCGAAGGGGGGACGGAGAAGGCUAUGUUGGCCGGGCGACGGUUGUCCCGGUUUAAGCGUGUAGGUGUGUGUUCCAGGUAAAUCCGGUUCACUUUAACACUGAGGCGUGACGACGAGGCACUACGGUGCUGAAGCAACAAAUGCCCUGCUUCCAGGAAAAGCCUCUAAGCAUCAGGUAACAUCAAAUCGUACCCCAAACCGACACAGGUGGUCAGGUAGAGAAUACCAAGGCGCUUGAGAGAACUCGGGUGAAGGAACUAGGCAAAAUGGUGCCGUAACUUCGGGAGAAGGCACGCUGACACGUAGGUGAAGUGAUUUACUCAUGGAGCUGAAGUCAGUCGAAGAUACCAGCUGGCUGCAACUGUUUAUUAAAAACACAGCACUGUGCAAACACGAAAGUGGACGUAUACGGUGUGACGCCUGCCCGGUGCCGGAAGGUUAAUUGAUGGGGUCAGCGCAAGCGAAGCUCCUGAUCGAAGCCCCGGUAAACGGCGGCCGUAACUAUAACGGUCCUAAGGUAGCGAAAUUCCUUGUCGGGUAAGUUCCGACCUGCACGAAUGGCGUAAUGAUGGCCAGGCUGUCUCCACCCGAGACUCAGUGAAAUUGAACUCGCUGUGAAGAUGCAGUGUACCCGCGGCAAGACGGAAAGACCCCGUGAACCUUUACUAUAGCUUGACACUGAACAUUGAGCCUUGAUGUGUAGGAUAGGUGGGAGGCUUUGAAGUGUGGACGCCAGUCUGCAUGGAGCCGACCUUGAAAUACCACCCUUUAAUGUUUGAUGUUCUAACGUGGACCCGUUACCCGGGUUGCGGACAGUGUCUGGUGGGUAGUUUGACUGGGGCGGUCUCCUCCUAAAGAGUAACGGAGGAGCACGAAGGUUGGCUAAUCCUGGUCGGACAUCAGGAGGUUAGUGCAAUGGCAUAAGCCAGCUUGACUGCGAGCGUGACGGCGCGAGCAGGUGCGAAAGCAGGUCAUAGUGAUCCGGUGGUUCUGAAUGGAAGGGCCAUCGCUCAACGGAUAAAAGGUACUCCGGGGAUAACAGGCUGAUACCGCCCAAGAGUUCAUAUCGACGGCGGUGUUUGGCACCUCGAUGUCGGCUCAUCACAUCCUGGGGCUGAAGUAGGUCCCAAGGGUAUGGCUGUUCGCCAUUUAAAGUGGUACGCGAGCUGGGUUUAGAACGUCGUGAGACAGUUCGGUCCCCUAUCUGCCGUGGGCGCUGGAGAACUGAGGGGGGCUGCUCCUAGUACGAGAGGACCGGAGUGGACGCAUCACUGGUGUUCGGGUUGUCAUGCCAAUGGCACUGCCCGGUAGCUAAAUGCGGAAGAGAUAAGUGCUGAAAGCAUCUAAGCACGAAACUUGCCCCGAGAUGAGUUCUCCCUGAGACUUAAAGUCUCCUGAAGGAACGUUGAAGACGACGACGUUGAUAGGCCGGGUGUGUAAGCGCAGCGAUGCGUUGAGCUAACCGGUACUAAUGAACCGUGAGGCUUAACCUUACAACGCCGAAG